GAUACAGUAAUUUCCACGAGCUCAAAGCCUGUAGAAUUUCCUUUAUUUAUUGAAGGUCAAGACUCAACAAGAGCAGCGUACGCCAUAUUCCUGCUAAACAAGGAUUUAGAGCAAGUCUUGAAUUUUAUCGGUGUUAAGAGCGUAGGACCUCGACAUAUAUUAGCAAAUCUAAAGGAGCUUACACUAACAGUUCUUUCCCAAGAGUACAUAGAUAUGUGAAAGUUUCUGUAAAUGGAUUGAUUACUUGUAUUCUAGAUUAGAAGGGUGCUGUUUUUUUCCGACCACCUUAAAUUCUUGGUCUAUUUUCCAAACAGUGCCAAUUAUAUUUUAUGUUAACUUACCUUAUCUUAAAUUUUUUUUGUUUACUUCACGGGCAAUGAUACUGGAAAAUGGAUAGUA